rnacentral:piRNA from 1 species
ACAAGGUUUUGAUGAAGGUU